rnacentral:tRNA from 1 species
GGAGGGGUCGCAUAAUGGUAUUGCAGCGGUCUUGAAAACCGCCGCCCGCAAGGGCUUGCAGGUUCGACUCCUGUCCCCUCCGCCA